rnacentral:rRNA from 1 species
CCUACGGGGGGCUGCAGUGGGGAAUAUUGGACAAUGGGCGAAAGCCUGAUCCAGCCAUGCCGCGUGUGUGAAGAAGGCCUUCGGGUUGUAAAGCACUUUCAGUGGGGAAGAAAGCCUUGGGGCUAAUACCCUCGAGGAAGGACAUCACCCACAGAAGAAGCACCGGCUAACUCCGGGCCAGCAGCCGCGGUAAUACGGAGGGUGCGAGCGUUAAUCGGAAUUACUGGGCGUAAAGCGCGCGUAGGCGGUCUGAUAAGCCGGUUGUGAAAGCCCCGGGCUCAACCUGGGAACGGCAUCCGGAACUGUCAGGCUAGAGUGCAGGAGAGGAAGGUAGAAUUCCCGGUGUAGCGGUGAAAUGCGUAGAGAUCGGGAGGAAUACCAGUGGCGAAGGCGGCCUUCUGGACUGACACUGACGCUGAGGUGCGAAAGCGUGGGUAGCAAACAGGAUUAGAUACCCUUGUAGUC